ACUGGACAUCUUUUCUUCUUUGCUGUUUUUUUCCUUCGGAUCAUGAGUUGGUUGCGUGCGUAACGGCUGGCAUCAACUGCAUACACAUGUCGGCCGGCCUUAUUAGUGAGUUAGUUACGGGGUCGUUCUGAUCGCCGUGGUUGUUGAACACUCCAUUCCAUUCCAAUUCCAAUUCUGCCUGCUGUGCCUGCUCUGCUGAUUGGGUAGGAGCAGGUUGUCACUUUGUCAGCCGCUGCUGCACUCUUCUGCUUGGACACGACUUUGAAAAUCUCAUCGAGGGCGAUUGUCGGGACCCGCCGUGACCGCGAGUCCAACGACGGCAAACGCCAUUAUUCCAGCUUAUUAAUCAUUCUUUCCCCUUCUUCUCAAGGAUAAACAUCAGUAGUAGUAGUAGUUACACGCUGAUGAUGAUGAUGCUUUAUUUAUUACUGAUGACAUAUAUACA